UACAGGGGGGGCAAGCGUUGUUCGGAAUUACUGGGCGUAAAGGGCUCGUAGGUGGCCAACUAAGUCAGACGUGAAAUCCCUCAGCUUAACUGGGGAACUGCGUCUGAUACUGGAUGGCUUGAGUUUGGGAGAGGGAUGCGGAAUUCCUGGUGUAGCGGUGAAAUGCGCAGAUAUCAGGAGGAACACCAAUGGCGAAGGCAGCUCGCUGGGACGGUACUGACGCUGAGACGCGAAAGCGUGGGGAGCAAACAGG
rnacentral:rRNA from 1 species